UAUUUUUCUUUCAUUUUUGUGGGCUUUUUUUUAAGAAAAGUAUGUAACCCCUCUCCACAGAAACUUCUGGUCUGAUGAACCUGCCACAUCUUUUAAAAUGAAAAUGUACGUAAUGUAUAUAAUGUAAUUUUCUGGAACCUGAAGCACCAGUUAGGAACUUCAGGGCAUAUCCAGUUUAUCCGUAGUUUAUAGUCAAAAACAACUCUAAUUCCUCAGCCUCUGCUGCCAUCGCGUGGCCAUGAACCAUCCAUUAAUGCUAAAAUUCACCCAAUCCUCUUAACUUGUUGCACUGUAUUUCCUCAGCUUUAUUUACCAGGUUCAUUACCCAUAACACAAUCCAAUUUUCUUCCUCAAUUUUCAGAAAUAUCAUGAAUAAUUGACGUUGAUUUUUUUUUCCUAGUUUCUGCAGAUUGAAAUAUUUUUAAUGCCAGAUAGUGAGCAAGUCGGUCAUGCAACACAGCAAAUUGCUUUGGAAGGAAAAACGGCUGAGCAGAGAACAGAUAAUACAUACGUGACUUCAUCUUCCUGCUGUGAAACAACAGUAAUCCCACAGAGAUCUGCUAAAAAAGAAGAAAUUUUUUUCUGCAUCUGGCUAAAAACUUCCACAUGUCGAAAAAAAGUGUUUUAGGAUAAAGAAGAUUACUUUUCUGUGACAGGAGCAUCCUGGAAUCUUCUUUCUUGGUUAAUGCUUUAAGUUUUACUAUGCUGAACUAUUUUGAGUGGAGAGAAAACAACAUAUCUGUGAGGUUAAGCUUGGUUUUAGAUAUUCAAAGACAAAAUAAACUAUGUAAAAAUUCUGUAGCAAUCUAGGCCAUACACACUACAAUACCGUGUACCCCUGUUUGAAUAUCUAUACAAAUUCUCCUAGUUCAGCAUAGCUCAGAGGAUUAAAAAAUGUAUACUUUUACCGAUAUUUUCAAAGGUUUAGCCACAUGUUGGUGUUUUAUUCAUGGAUGAUUUUUAAAUUAGUUGAUGCAUUGAAAGGAGGGAUUAAUUCCUUCCUGAUAUUAAAUUUCCUGAUUGCAAAGAUUGUAAAGAAAGUACUCACUUAAAAUUCUCAGAUGUAAUCAGAACCAGCUAGGUUAUAUUUUUAGACUGAUAGGAAAAUAAACUGUCUCCAUGACUCAUCAA